rnacentral:rRNA from 1 species
GACGAACGCUGGCGGCGUGCUUAACACAUGCAAGUCGAGCGAUGAAGUUCCUUCGGGAAUGGAUUAGCGGCGGACGGGUGAGUAACACGUGGGUAACCUGCCUCAUAGAGGGGAAUAGCCUUUCGAAAGGAAGAUUAAUACCGCAUAAGAUUGUAGUAUCGCAUGAUACAGCAAUUAAAGGAGUAAUCCGCUAUGAGAUGGACCCGCGUCGCAUUAGCGAGUUGGGGAGGUAGCGGCUCACCAAGGCGACGAUGCGUAGCCGACCUGAGAGGGUGAUCGGGCACAUGGGGACGGAGACACGGCCCAGACUCCUACGGGAGGCAGCAGUGGGGAAUAUUGCACAAUGGGGGAAACCCUGAUGCAGCAACGCCGCGUGAGUGAUGACGGUCUUCGGAUUGUAAAACUCUGUCUUCAGGGACGAUAAUGACGGUACCUGAGGAGGAAGCCACGGCUAACUACGUGCCAGCCGCCGCGGUAAGAC